UGGGGAAUUUUGCACAAUGGGGGAAACCCUGAUGCAGCGACGCCGCGUGAUUUAGAAGGCCUUCGGGUUGUAAAAAUCUUUUGUAUAGGAAGAAAAUGACAGUACUAUACGAAUAAGGACCGGCUAAUUACGUGCCAGCAGCCGCGGUAAUACGUAAGGUCCGAGCGUUGUCCGGAAUCAUUGGGCGUAAAGGGUACGUAGGCGGGUAAGCAAGUUAGAAGUGAAAUCCUAUAGCUCAACUAUAGUAAGCUUUUAAAACUGCUAAUCUUGAGGUAUGGAAGGGAAAGUGGAAUUCCUAGUGUAGCGGUGAAAUGCGGAGAUAUUAGGAGGAAUACCGGUGGCGAAGGCGACUUUCGGGCCAUAACCAAACGCUGAGGUACGAAAGCGUGGGUAGCAAACAGG
rnacentral:rRNA from 1 species